rfam:Salmo salar isolate Sally breed double haploid chromosome ssa01, whole genome shotgun sequence.
UGCAUGCAUGACUGUAAGUCACUUUGGAUAAAAGCAUCUGUUAAAUGGCAUAUU